GGUGAGGACGUGCUGCUGGGGGGAACCCGCUGCUCUCUGCCCAGCUCUGACUGUGCAGCCAGGCUGAGUUCCCACUUCCAGCUCUGGCGCUGAAGUCUGCUCUGCCUCAGUUGCACGUUGAGCCUCUGCUUGGCUGCGUGCGCUCUGCGCUCUUGGUUAGAUUCUUGACUGUUUAACUGAGUUGUGCUUAGAUUAAAAAAAAAAAUAGCUCGUAUGCUGCUGAGCCUGGCUGAGGUGACUGGGAGCGUGAUGGGGAAGUGAAGGCUUUUGUCAGAGCCCCAUCCAGCACAUGGGAGCCAGGCCCAGGGGGCUGUUAAUGAAGAUGGACGUUGGCUCAUUCCCUUUUGCAGACUCCUGGCGCUGUCUGUGGAGGUACCUGAGCUGAGUCUGUGCGGUCUGAGCACAAUCUGCAGCCCAUCCAUAGCCAUGAAGGGCCCUGGGGGGGUUCGUGUCACCCCCGAGGCUGCAGCGGGCACCCAGCAGCACUGUGCCAUUGCUGUAACAAGGGCUGAGGGGGGUCAGGCCCGUGGAUGGGCUGUAUAAUGAAUGAAGAAGCCGGGGCAGUGGUGUGCUGCCUGCAGGCACCAGGAGAGGUGGCAGGAACUAGAAACAAAAGGUUUGGGUUUCAGAUGGAAGUGUGUGCUAGGGAAGGGUGAGCGUGUGUUGGCUGGGCUUUCUGGGACAGCUCACAGAAGUGAGAGCCCAGAAAUGAGGGAGAAGGGACAGUUUGUACAUGCAAGUAAUGUUCCAGAUUAUUAAUAGCAGCAGCAUGAAGCGGGUCCUCACGGGGGUGUCUCCUGCACAUUCCUCUGACACUACAGAUGAUCCCUUUGUGUGGAGCUCGGAGAAGCAGGUCUUGAGCAGGUAAGGGAAGGGGAGGAAGCAGCGAGGUUACACCACAGCUCCCUGUCUGAGAGGUGGUUGGCUUUUGGAUGAACCCCUCGAGGAGUCUCCACGUGUCCACAUCCCUCUCCUGAGCUGUAGCAGCUCUGAGGCUGCCUCUCCAUCUGCAGCCCUCGUGGUGCUCCUGCUUUGGUGCUGUCCUGAUCUCACGGGGAGAUGUGAGGUGUGUCUGUCCUGUAUUGCUCUGCUUCCCCACCUAUCAAUACAGCAGGUCACCUGUGUACCUCCAGGAGAGGAUGCGAGGAAGGCCUGAGCUGCUCAGCCUUGUAAUAGAGGGGGUGGGAGGAGAAACGCACCGCGGACGGCUCGUUGCUUCUCCGAAGGCGCUGCUGACGCUGGUGUGUAAGCCGAUGGAUAUUGCCGUGCCACAGCACGUCCCUCUGCCCCACUUACUCUGCAGGGAGGAUUAAUUGCACGGUGCCUCCUUGCUGCUCCUUCCACGCGGUGGGGGGGCCCUGGGUCCUGCUGGUGGCCCUGGAAGCUGUCCCUGCGUAAGGCAGGGCGGCAGUGAGCCCGUGCUGAAAGGGAAACAGUGCUGGCAUCCCACUGCAGGGAGUCUGACAGCUCAGGGGAGAGAUUUCCCUGCGAACCCCCUCUGGAAGCUCCCCCUUCCACCCUUCUCCUUCCCCUCCCAAAUCUGAAGAUUUGGCAGCAAUUUGGGAAGUGUGUGAGGCUUCGGGCAGCCCGAGGGAGAGAGCACGGGGAGAAGCAGUGCUGGUUGGAAUGUGGGACAGCUCGGCUUGGCAGUGCUGCAGCUCCGCAGCUCAGAAAUGGAAGCAGCCUCAUCGCUGGUGGGAGCAGCACCCCACGUCCCCCCACCUCCCAGACUCCCUGCUGGGACACAGCAGAGCUGCUUCAGUUGCUGGCGGUGUCCCCUGCUUCUGUGGAACCCAUAGGGGAGUUGAAAUGAGCUGUAUGUUGGGGAUGGAAGUGAUUGCUCGGCCCCUUUCUUCCCACCUCGCAUCGCAGAAGGCCACCCCAGAUCUGCCGGUGCAGCUGCUUCCUAACCUGGUUCUGUCAAAAGGAUAUGGGUUAAGGGGAAAAAAAAAAAAGCUCCUACUAUUAAAAGUGUUUAUGCCAACCCGGAUCCUGCUGGCAGCAGAGGGUUUGGUGGUGAUACGCAUGACGUGAGGCCAGGAGGAUCUGUGUGGAGUGACAGUCCCCAGAUGGGCCGGGGGAAGCCUGCUGGCAUGCAGCUCACCGUGGCAGUGCACAAGCCAGCAGGCACUGCACGGAGCCUGGGCCUGUGCUUGGGGUCUGUGGGGCUGGAGCACAGUGGAUGUGCUUCCUUAUGGUACAGUGUGAACUCCUGGCUUCCCCUCCCUGCUGCAGGGCUCAGAGUGCCCCCAGUCCUCAUGCAUGAGUGAGCAGUUCCCUGGGGGCCUGCUCCAUGCCCUCUGGUGCAGAGCUCUUCCCCAGCCACAGGUCUGUGUUGUCCCCUGAGGGAUCGGUGCCUUUGGCUGCAGUGCUGAACCCUGGGAUCCCCGUGCUCUGAGCUGUCUGUGGGGGGGGAGCACAGCCUGCCCUCCCUCUGCACGUCCCAGGGCUGUUCUCCCACUGUGGGCAGUUGUGCCUCAGUUCCCUCUUCUGCAGCAACACUUCCUCAGUGAAGUACCUCGAGCUGCAGAGAGUGUAAGAGCCAAAGGGCAUUUACCCUUUGCAUCAACUGUCUGGCAAACCCCUGGAGCUCGCAAUUGGGAGCAGCAGGAAGGCACAGCAAUGAAUGCUGCUGCUUGGGCUCGUGCCCAGCGUGCUGGGAGGUGUGUCCUGGCUGUUGGGAGGGAGGAAAUCUCCUCCAGGUGGACAGGAGGUUCUGAGCCUGUCCCCUAACUUGGGCCUGGGGAGGGAAGGAAGGGAAGGAGCCACGUGCAUCCAGGAGUCCCCUUUGUUAUAGGAAAAGGGUUGGGAAACGCUUCUGUCCCUUUGCAGACCAGGUGUGGAGCCCCCUGUCCUCACUGCAGCUGAUCCCUCUGUGCUGGAAGGAAGCACAUGUGGGACUUGAGGCCGUGGGGUCUGUGAGGUGUGUGGGGUUGGGGUUGUUGCUAUUACAUCCUUGUUUGUUUUCCAUCCUCAGCCUCCAGCGGUUGCAUAAACGGGAGCAAAUUGAAGGGUUACAUCAGUGCUGUUUGCAGCAGCGUGGGGAGAAGUGCUGGUAUGAAGUUAGGUGAGCCAGCCUUGCGGGGCAGCAGGAUGUGCUCCCAUCUCCCUGCUUUGGUGUUCUUACAGACUGCACAGGUUGGGGCUCGGAGGUCUUCAGGAGCCUCAUCCAUCUGAAUGAAAUCCUCACGCUAACGUUGGAUUGCACGUGUGCAUUUAGAACGGCGUGUUUGGAGGAGGAGAGGGAAAAACCCAACAUUUCUGAACAGCAAGCCAUGCAAAGCAGCCCCAGUGCCAGGCUGGGAAGGAAGCCCACAGCUGUGGGGUGGGAAGCGGGCACUCACUUGCCAAAACAUCUGCUCUCCUGCUCCAGUGAGGUGCACUUAUGGCACCAACAGCGGAGCAAAGUCCUCGGGUGCCCCAAAGCCUGUUGCUGGGCAGGUCUGCAGCCUCUGCUGGGCAUCAGCCCGGGCUGCUGCUGCUGCAGAGCAGAAGUGCAGCACUUCUGUGGCUGCGGAGGAGGAGGGGAGAAAGCCUUCCUCUCUGCUGGCUGCCUGGGAAACCGAUGGCAGCUCUUGGUUUGCAUCCAUUCUGGUGCGUGAUGUGUGCUGAGAUCCCUCAUGGAGAGAACGGCGAGCAGUGCUUUAUGCUGCUUUUAGAAGUGUUAGCUUUUGAGGACAUGGGAGUAUUCAGGGACAGGGCUGGGGAAGCAGCGUGCUGGCAGAGAUGGUCUUAACCUUAUUGCAGGCUGCAGUGGCACAGGGGAGGUGUUUCGGCCUCAGAAGUGAGCUGUGAAAUGGAAGCGGCUGUUCCACGCUGCUGGUGAGGAUCACCCAUUGGUGUGGAAACCUCCACGUCACCUCUGCCCGGUGAGUGCUGUGGGCUGAGAGCCCAGGGCUGGGCAGGAAGGUGCUGUGGGGGGAGCUGACCUGGCUCAGAAGCCCAACGUCAGCGUGGAAUGCUUUGUUGCCCUGCUCCCAAAGCACAGCACGGCGCAGACACCGGCACUGACAGCGUGAUGGUUGGUCGUGGUGGUGGAGAAUCAUGAGCCCAGGCAGCAGGAAGUGUGGCUGAGCUCUCACUGUGGCUUCUCCCCGCAGCUGAAGCAGAAAUAGCAAUAAAAUGUCUGCGUCUGGUGGCAGAGGUUGAAAUACAGAACAGGGCCGUCCUCCCUGAGCAUGUGUGAGGUGCUGUGCUUAUCUCCCGGAUGCUGCUGCGUGGCACCUGGUGGGGCAGCAGCUCCUUGGGCUUCUCCGGUGCCCAAAGUACCAAUAGAACUGGUUGAUGUGGGAUGCAGGCAGUCUCAGGAGCUUGUUCUGCACAGAGUUAGCAGGCUUGGAAGCAAACCUCGGUCAUCACAGGGGGUGAACUGCGGCACUGGGAGAGCUCGGGGCGGAUCUGGCUGGGAUGUGCUUUGAACCUUGCUGGGGCUGGGGAUGGCCGUGCAGCUCACAGUGCUCUCACGGGACUGGUGAGCAGGUUUGUGCUGGCCAGCUGCUGUGGGUUCCUGGAAGGCAGCCGGUUCCUUUGCAGCUCUGCCCCCCAGCAGCAGCGUGGACUUAAUUAGGAUCUGGUGUCCAAGCAGAGCUCGGUGCGCUGCGGAUGCUUCGUUGGGCUUCAAUAGGAAACCUGCUGGCAGGGCUGCGUGGGGCUUGAGGCUGAGACCACUUGUUCAAGUCACUGCUGGGGUAUGGAGGGCCCCACUGAUCACUGCUGCUGUGCAGAGCAGCAGCCCAGCAGGCCUCAUCAGCAUCGUGUCUGGGCUGCAUGCAGUGUCCCCGGGGACGAGCAGAGGAGCUGCGCUGUGGCUGAUGCCGUCCUUCUCAGGUCUCUCAGUUAGAGGCUCUGCUUUGUCUGUCAGGAACUUCCUCUCUCCUACUACUACUGCGUCUGCAUGACUAAAACCGAAACCACUUCAGCGUCCUAAUUGGCCUCUUUGAGCUGAACUGCUGAGAUGUGAUGGAUUCUGCAGAAUUACGGCCCCGUGUUACUUCAUGCAGGGGCAGAGGAUGAGCCUGCAUCUUUCCCACUGCUCACGAGGAUUACUGCUCCAGUCACCUCCAGCAUCCUGCUUACAGUGCCAGCAGAGACCGCCCAACCUGUGCACGGGAGCACGGGGUGCAAGCAGCAGGGUGUCAGGCUGGAGCUGAGUCUUCUGUUCAUCAUUCAGUUUCCCAGCUUGGAGCAGAGCCUCUGCCGGCCCAGCAGCUGCUGAUGGUGUUGGAGGGCAGCAGUGAGCAGGUGGGAGGUGCUGGUGGCAUCCUGCAGCAGGACUGGGAGGGGAAGGGGUGUUGGUACCCAGCUGCCCCCCGCCCUACAGCCUGCUGCGUCCGACCCCACGCUGGUUUGGUGCCCAGCUCCUUCCUGCCCCAGGAUCUGCUGCUCCCGACCCCACACUGACCUGGCACUGCUGCUGUUGACGUGCACCGUGCAUCCAUCCCAGUGGCUGUGCGCAGAAGGCUGUGAGGCACACGUAGCUCAUUUCAUUCAGAUGGAUGUGAGGCACACGUAGGCAGAGCUGCUGGGCCUGAGUUGGGCACAAUCACUUCUCACAGCGGGGUGAGCGCAGGCACAGAGUGCUGCUCGCAGGCAGCGCGCAGCCAACCGCAGAGCUGUUUGCAUUCGGGUCUCUGAUAGAGCAUCGGUGUUUUCUUUCCGGUAGGUUUUAUGAGUCUGUAGUUGGAAGUUGGAGUUUGUGGCUGCUGAGCCCAAGCACUGAGUGCUCUGUGGGGCGCUCGGUUCUUCGAUGGGAUGUGCUGUGUUUGAUCCUUUUCGGUCUCCUUUUCAGACCUGCUCUUAUUUUAGCAUCUGUAUAUUUACUGGGAUUAUUACUGCGUUUCCUAGGGCAGUAUUUUUAGCUUUUUCCUUGGUUCCUGCGCUGCUGCUGAGAUCCCAGCCGUGGCAUUUCCUGCUCCGUGGUAAAAACCCUGCUAAUAUUUUCCAUGCAGGUGUGCUGGUGUUGGAUGGAGAUGCGGGGAGAGGCAGAGCUCUGCGUUUGGCUGUGGGUGCAUUGCUCAGCAUUGAUGCCGAGCGGGGCCGCCUCGUCCCACCGCCACUGGGAUCUCAGGAGCAGCUGAGAUUGUGCUUUUCCAGCAGCCUGAUGGUUUUGAACGUGUCAGCUUGUAACCUCUAAAGAUCUGCAUGAAAUCAUGCGUGAGUCAUUAUUGGUUUUGCAUGGUGAGAGCUCGGUGGGGCUGAGCAUUUGUCAGGCCACCGAGCUGCGCAGCAGCGCUCCGUCGAUAGCGAAUGUUCUCUGUUGAGGGAUGUAUGGCGGUCCGUGAAGGAGCUGCAGGAAUGGUUGGAAGCGGGGAGAAAAUCCCUCGGGGAGAUGGGAGGAGAGGGGAAGAGAGCGCAGCGUGCGAUGUGUGCAGGGAAGGGAGCGCUGCUGGCGUGGGGAGAAGUGUGGUAGGUGGGAGGGCUGGAAGGGGACGGCCGUCCUGCGGGGCAGGGAGAAAAACCCAUCGUUUUCAGGAAGAAAAAACCCAUCAUUUUCACAGCGCCCUUCGGAUCGGGGGGAGGGGUGGGGACGAAAGACAGCAAAUGCUUCCUUCAUUUGUGGAAUCGUGGUUUGGGUUGGGGGGGACCCUAAAGAUCGCCCGGUGCCACCCGAGGGCCGACUGCCCCCCCACGUGGGGCUCCUAUGGGACGGCGCCCCGCCGCCCCCUGGGAGAGGCCUUCAUCCUCACGUCUGAUCCGCAUCUCCUUUCUUCAGUGCAAAACCAUCCCUCCUUUUCAUUUAUGUCCUUUCCUAAUGCCAACGUUCUCAUUUCCGUGGCUCGGGGCCGUCUCAGCCCGGAGCAGGGAGCCAGGAGGGGAGGGGAGGUUUGGAGCAAGGAUGCUCGGAUCACGUUGGAUUCAAAGCUUUGCUCCCCCACUUGAGGGUUUUGUUGGGGUUUGUUGUUGUUGUUUUUUCCCUACGAGGAUUGGGCUGUUGGACCAGGCCGACGCGGAGCAGCUGUGGGCUGUGCCCCCAUCAAUGGGAUGUCGGCGCUGUGAGCCCCGCAGUCCCGGCCCUGGGGCUGAGCUGUGCGCUGCCCCCCAUCACAGCCAGCUGCUCAAUGAGAGCUUCCUGUUGUGCUGACACCGACGUGAGUGUGCGAAGGAGGAAGCGGUGAGCAGAGCUGGGAGAGCCUCAGCCGCAGUGAGGAGCGCUGUGGGCGCCGUCUGCUUCGCUUGGCGGGGCCGGGAGGAGACGCGCCGUGGCAGCAGCGGCCCCGGAGUGCCGUGCCAUGCUGGGAGGGCAGCUGCUUCCAGGGCUUCCUUUUCUUAUAGGAUUCACCCCAAAAAGCCCUCGGCUCGCUCUGCAGCUCCGAGCCCUCUGCAGAGAUGUCACCGCGAGGCUGCCGGGCCCUCACGGUGCCGUGGUGGCACAGCUCUCACCCAGAGCUGCCUUUGCCAUUGGAUGGCCGCGCUUUCUGCCACUGCUGCUCUUCCCCCGAGCGCUCGGGAGGAGGCUGGGCUGGAAGGAGCCCAUCUGCUAUGGCCGUAGGUUGGCCGGGACACCUCCUGGUGCUGCAGCAUCCCCACGGCUCCUCAGUGCACAGAGCAAGGCAGAGCCAGGCUGUGUUUUGUGCACGCCGUGAGCUUCUCCCUUCUCACACGGAGCGGUGGGCAGCAGAUGACGGCCCACACUGCUCUGAGCCUUGCGGUCGGCUGCUGCUGCUGCCUGCCCUGCUGGAGGUGCUGCCUUAAAUUGGGAUGGGGUGUUAAAUUCCCAGGAGAUGAGGAACGGUUGGGUUAUUUGCACAUCUUGGAAGCCCCGUUGGAUUUCCCUCCUGCAAUAGCUGCAUGGACAGGGCUUUCCUCACAGCUCUUUGGGCAGAGCUUUGGGCUGCCCAAAGAGCCCAAAGGAGGAGCUCCAGCCCUCAUCCAUACCCGAGG
rnacentral:lncRNA from 1 species